CCUACGGGGGGCAGCAGUGGGGAAUAUUGGACAAUGGGCGAAAGCCUGAUCCAGCCAUGCCGCGUGUGUGAAGAAGGCCUUCGGGUUGUAAAGCACUUUCAGUGGGGAAGAAAGCCUUGGGGCUAAUACCCUCGAGGAAGGACAUCACCCACAGAAGAAGCACCGGCUAACUCCGUGCCAGCAGCCGCGGUAAUACGGAGGGUGCGAGCGUUAAUCGGAAUUACUGGGCGUAAAGCGCGCGUAGGCGGUCUGAUAAGCCGGUUGUGAAAGCCCCGGGCUCAACCUGGGAACGGCAUCCGGGACUGUCAGGCUAGAGUGCAGGAGAGGAAGGUAGAAUUCCCGGUGUAGCGGUGAAAUGCGUAGAGAUCGGGAGGAAUACCAGUGGCGAAGGCGGCCUUCUGGACUGACACUGACGCUGAGGUGCGAAAGCGUGGGUAGCAAACAGGAUUAGAUACCCCAGUAGUC
rnacentral:rRNA from 1 species